rnacentral:rRNA from 1 species
GACGAACGCUGGCGGCGUGCUUAACACAUGCAAGUCGAACGGAAAGGCCCUGCUUUUGUGGGGUGCUCGAGUGGCGAACGGGUGAGUAACACGUGAGUAACCUGCCCUUGACUUUGGGAUAACUUCAGGAAACUGGGGCUAAUACCGGAUAGGAGCUCCUGCAGCAUGGUGGGGGUUGGAAAGUUACGGCGGUUGGGGCUGGUGUAGCGGGUUAGCAGCUGGUUGGUAGGGUAGUGGAUACCCAAGGCUUUGACGGGUAGCCGCCCUGGAAGGGUGACAGGGUCCAGAGUGCUUGGGGAGGGGCCAGGAGGCCAACGGAGGCAGUGGUGGGGAACAUGGCACAAUGGGCGGAAGCCAGAUGCAGCAAUGCCGCGUGCGGGAUGACGGCCUUCGGGUGGUAAACCGCUUUCGCCUGUGACGAAGCGUGAGUGACGGUAAUGGGUAAAGAAGCACCGGCUAACUACGUG